rnacentral:rRNA from 1 species
AUACGGAGGAUCCGAGCGUUAUCCGGAUUUAUUGGGUUUAAAGGGUGCGCAGGCGGCCAUUUAAGUCAGCGGUUAAAUCGUGGGGCUCAACCCCAUUCUGCCGUUGAUACUGGGUGGCUUGAUUGCGGUCGAGGUUGGCGGAAUUCGUUGUGUAGCGGUGGAAUGCAUAGAUAUGACGAAGAACACCGAUUGCGUAGGCAGCUGACCAGAUCGCAAAUGACGCUCAUGCACGAAAGUGCGGGGAUCGAACAGGAUUAGAUACCCUGGUAGUCCGCACAGUAAACGAUGAAUACUUGUUUUCGGCGAUAUAAUGUCGGAGGCAAAGCGAAAGCGAUAAGUAUUCCACCUGGGGAGUACGCCGGCAACGGUGAAACUUAAAGGAAUUGACGGGG